rnacentral:lncRNA from 1 species
UGAUCACCAUCAUCACCGCUGUCACCACCACCACCACCAUUACCACCACCACCACCAUCACAACCACCACCACCACCAUCACACAAAUGAGCCAAAUUUAAAUUGCCUCCAUACUUGAAAUACUCCAAGGGUGCCCCAAUUAGUUGUAGAGAUAAAGCUUCUCAAGAAUGUAAGGGAACCCCCAUCUUGCCGUAGCACCACCCCCCAUUGUACAAUGUCCGCCAAGCUGGAAACAGACAGGUCAGGCUUGUUCCCCGCCAGGAAGACAAAUCUGUUUUUGCUCAAAUUCCACAGGAAAGUAUUUAAGACCCAGAGUUCAGCGAGUGAGCCCGUCAGCCGCUGGAGUAGGGAGCAGGCGAGCUGUGCGCAGAGAAGCACGACCAAGGCUCGGGCGCUCUCACCAUCGAGACACCACAACCAACACCCUCCUCGCCAUUGCCAUGGCAGUGGUGGCUCGUGGUUCAAGUGCCAAAGGUGGGGACAGGAAAAAGAUCAAGAGGUCAACAUAGAGGACGAUUGUCCUCGUCAACAUCUGUACUGAGAGUGCCCAUGGCGUUGCCGAGCACUCCUCCCGCGGCGGAGGCCCUGCAGACUGCAUCACCGCCUCCGAGUACUUCCCGCCAGAACCAGGGUGACGGGGUCUGGAAAACAACGGCAAGACCUGCCCCAGACGAGUCUCCAUCUCUGAAGUGGAAGCCCUUCGUUCAAGCCAACCGCGUGGGCAGAGCCUCAUCCGCGCGAAAGAUGCAAAGCAGAGAAAGAGAUGGUGAGAAAACCAGGUCUCAGCGCUCGCCGGGGAGCCGUCAGAGGCAGGAAGGCAGGAGCUGGAGCAGAAGAAAGAAGCCACACAGUGACCGGAGCUGCCAGCCAUUGUCCGACGUGGUAGCCUCGGGCCCCCCGUGGCUAGCGAGUCCUUACAAUGGGGCUAGUUCUAUUGCGGAAUCGAAC